rnacentral:rRNA from 1 species
UACGUAGGGUGCAAGCGUUGUCCGGAAUUAUUGGGCGUAAAGGGUGCGUAGGCGGCCGUGCAAGUCUGGCGUGAAAGCCCCGGGCUCAGCCCGGGAAGUGCGCUCGAAACUGCGCGGCUCGAGUGCCGGAGGGGAGAGUGGAAUUCCUGGUGUAGCGGUGAAAUGCGUAGAUAUCAGGAGGAAUACCGGUGGCGAAAGCGACUCUCUGGACGGCAACUGACGCUGAGGCACGAAAGCGUGGGGAGCAAACAGG